rnacentral:sRNA from 1 species
GAUUAAAGAACUCAGACUAAGACCGCCACCUCCAGUGGCAACGUCUGAGUGACCCACGUCAUGUGGA